UACGUAGGGUGCAAGCGUUGUCCGGAAUUAUUGGGCGUAAAGAGCUUGUAGGCGGUUUGUCGCGUCUGCUGUGAAAUUUCGGGGCUCAACCCCGAACUUGCAGUGGGUACGGGCAGACUAGAGUGUGGUAGGGGAGACUGGAAUUCCUGGUGUAGCGGUGAAAUGCGCAGAUAUCAGGAGGAACACCGAUGGCGAAGGCAGGUCUCUGGGCCAUAACUGACGCUGAGGCGCGAAAGCGUGGGGAGCAAACGGG
rnacentral:rRNA from 1 species